GACGAAGGGGGCUAGCGUUGUUCGGAAUUACUGGGCGUAAAGCGUGUGUAGGUGGUUGUCAUAGUCGGGUGUGAAAGCCUUGAGCUCAACUCAAGAAAUGCACUCGAUACUGGGCGACUAGAGGACCGGAGAGGAUAGUGGAAUUCCCAGUGUAGUGGUGAAAUACGUAGAGAUUGGGAAGAACACCAGUGGCGAAGGCGGCUAUCUGGACGGUUUCUGACACUAAGACACGAAAGCGUGGGGAGCAAACAGG
rnacentral:rRNA from 1 species